rnacentral:rRNA from 1 species
UACGUAGGUGGCAAGCGUUAUCCGGAUUUACUGGGUGUAAAGGGAGCGUAGACGGCAGCGCAAGUCUGGAGUGAAAUGCCGGGGCCCAACCCCGGAACUGCUUUGGAAACUGUGCGGCUUGAGUGCGGGAGAGGUAAGCGGAAUUCCUAGUGUAGCGGUGAAAUGCGUAGAUAUUAGGAGGAACACCAGUGGCGAAGGCGGCUUACUGGACCGUAACUGACGUUGAGGCUCGAAAGCGUGGGGAGCAAACAGG